rnacentral:rRNA from 1 species
UACAGAGGUCUCGAGCGUUGUUCGGAUUCAUUGGGCGUAAAGGGCGCGUAGGCGGCGGGGUAAGUCUGGUGUGAAAUCUAGGAGCUCAACUCCUAAACUGCACUGGAUACUGCUCUGCUAGAGGACUGGAGAGGAGACUGGAAUUCACGGUGUAGCAGUGAAAUGCGUAGAUAUCGUGAGGAAGACCAGUGGCGAAGGCGGGUCUCUGGGCAGUAACUGACGCUGAGGAGCGAAAGCGUGGGGAGCAAACAGG